GAGUUUGAUUAUGGCUCAGGAUGAACGCUAGCGGCAGGCCUCAUACAUGCAAGUCGAGGGGCAGCAGGACACUUCGGUGUUGCUGGCGACCGGCGCACGGGUGCGUAACACGUAUGCAAUCUGCCUUGUACUGGAGCAUAGCCCUCGGAAACGAAGAUUAAUACUCCAUACAGUCUUACUAGCGCCUGCUAGUAAGAUGAAAGCUCCGGCGGUACAAGAUGAGCAUGCAUCCCAUUAGCUUGUUGGUGAGAUAACAGCUCACCAAGGCUACGAUGGGUAGGGGUUCUGAGAGGAAGAUCCCCCACACUGGCACUGAGAUACGGGCCAGACUCCUACGGGAGGCGGCAGUAGGGAAUAUUGGUCAAUGGGCGCAAGCCUGAACCAGCCAUGCCGCGUGCAGGAUGAAGGCCCUCAGGGUUGUAAACUGCUUUUGUAUGGGAAUAAAAAAGUCCUUGCGAGGACUCUUGAAGGUACCAUAAGAAUAAGCACCGGCUAACUCCGUGCCAGCAGCCGCGGUAAUACGGAGGGUGCAAGCGUUAUCCGGAUUUACUGGGUUUAAAGAGUGCGUAGGCGGCUUCUUAAGUCAGUGGUGAAAGCUUAGCGCUUAACGCUAGAAGUGCCACUGAUACUGGGAAGCUUGAGUCAAGAAGAGGUAAGCAGAAUUCAUAGUGUAGCAGUGAAAUGCUUAGAUACUAUGAGGAAUACCAACAGCGAAGGCAGCUUACUGGUCUUGUACUGACGUUGAGGCACGAAAGCGUGGGUAGCGAACAGGAUUAGAUACCCUGGUAGUCCACGCCGUAAACGAUGAUCACUCGAUGUACACGCUAGUCGUGUGUGUCUAAGCAAAAGCAUUAAGUGAUCCACCUGGGGAGUACGCUCGCAAGAGUGAAACUCAAAGGAAUUGACGGGAGUCCGCACAAGCGGUGGAGCAUGUGGUUUAAUUCGAUAAUACGCGAGGAACCUUACCUGGGCUCGAAUGUC
rnacentral:rRNA from 1 species